UACGUAGGCAGCGAGCGUUGUUCGGAUUUACUGGGCGUAAAGGGUGCGUAGGCGGUUGUUUAAGUUUGGUGUGAAAUCUCCCGGCUCAACUGGGAGGGUGCGCCGAAUACUGAAUGACUAGAGUGCGGGAGAGGAGAGUGGAAUUCCUGGUGUAGCGGUGAAAUGCGUAGAUAUCAGGAGGAACACCGGUGGUGUAGACGGCUCUCUGGACCGUAACUGACGCUGAGGCACGAAAGCGGGGGUAGCAAACAGG
rnacentral:rRNA from 1 species